CAUUUCAAAGCAAAGCUAAGAACAAGAAAAAAGCUGAGUAAACAAAAAUUUUUGCUGAAUUUACGAAAGUGUACACAUUAAGAACUAUAGCAAUAAUUGGUUGAUUGGUGUUGCUUAAUAUUAAAUUUCACUUGAGCAGUCAACAUUCAAAUUGGAAAAAAUCGCUCUACUUGAUGUGUUUCACCGAGAGCUUUGUUUUGUUGUGAAAUCUCCGAUGUGAACGAAACGACUUCAGGCAUAAAAUCGACGCAUUUAAAAAAUAGCGUGGAGAACGUAUGGACUAUGUAACACAUUCCCAAGUUCUCCAAUAAGAACUUUUGUACAAGGGUGCCAUGCUGCUGUUCAAAAAAUUUACUUUGCGGGGCGCCGGCGUAACAUUUGCAAUUGUUGGAUAUUAUAAUCAAAGCUCGUAUGGUUUUGGUGAAGACGAAUCAGCUUCACUUCGUAAUAAACUCGUUCUUAAUUUCGUGUGGUCAAAUAUAUAACUCAGUUUACAAAUCCGUCCAAAGUUCCACGUUGAUUCUUCUGCAUCAUGUUAAGCGGCUUCGACUGCCACACAUAUCCCGUCAACAAAUAAAAACUUAAAAAACAAACGAUAUAUUGCACAAAAGGAAAAAACAAUAAUGUCAAAUAUUUCGUUACUGCAUCAAAUCGUGUGAAGAUGUCUCCAGUUCCUAACACAAAUAUAUGUACAUACCUGCAACUUCACUCCGCACACAAAUUCUGUUUCCAUUGGUAAUUUAGUUAGCUUUUACGGAUUGUAACAUCAACGACAUGUCAACUUUAAUUUCUAACUAAUAUCUCGAAAUAAAGUUCCACUGAACUGAUGCGUUUAAA